GGCAGCUAACUCUCACAUGGUUGCCCACUGAAGCUAAGCAGGGCUGUGCAGAGUCAGUACCUGGAUGGGAGACCACAUGGGAACGCUAGGUUGCUGUCC
rnacentral:rRNA from 1 species